CCGCCCCUUAUGUCCUAAUCUUAAUCCUUGCCCCUUUUUGUUUUAUACACUUUAUAUCCUUUUCUCCUCGUGUCCUUUUCCCAUUUUCCUCCCUCACCCCCUCUUUCCUAUUUCUUGCAUUCCCUUGUGUACUGAUUUUCUUACUUGUCCCAUUUCUUAUUACCUUCCUUAUCUUAUUUAUUUCCACUUUUUACAUUUGUUUUCUCCUCCGUUGUUCCUUUGCCUCAUUUCUGAAAUUUUAUUCCCGUAUUUUAUUUCCUUGUGUCCACAUCGACCUCCUUACUUCAACUCCUUCCUUAUGCCCUUACAGCCAAACUUAUCUCUUUUUAUGAACUUAUCGCUUUCUGUGUCUUCUUAUCUCCUUCCUUAUGUCCUUCAAUUAUUUUUUUCUCCCACCUUAUUCACUCCCAUAAUUCUUGGUUCUUCCAUUUUUCAUCACAUCCUAUUUUGUCCUCUGUCUUCUGUUAUUAUCUUAUUCCAUCUCAAAAGCUCUCCCUGUCGCCUCCUUCUCUUUCCUUUCUCCUCUCGCCUUCUGUCCUGAGUCAUCGCUCCUCCCUCUCUCUGUUCCCUCCCCCCUUCCUCCCUUUUAUCAGAGGAGUGUCUGCAUCCUGCCUCAGUGUGUGUUUGUGUGUGUGCUCGGCCUGUAGCAUGGCGUCUCUCGGCCUCCUGCUGCUCAGCACUGCUCUGAUCCACACCACUCAGUCUCUACCUGCAGCUCGUGCUGGGGGCCACGGCCUGGAUGUGUCAGUGGGUGGAGUCAGACGCCAGCGCAGAGACCUCCCUAACAUGCUGCCUUAUGAAGAUCAGAUGAUGUCAUAUCCUGCCAUGCAGGGAGGAGGCAGGGCCAAUGACCUGUACUACCAAUCAGAUGACUGGAGGGGGAGGGGCUUGGACCAGGCACUGCAGCGAUUGGUGGAGAGAGACCAGAGGAAGGAGCAGGAAGAGGAGCAGCGAGCGGCCUACCUGGCAGCUCUGCUCCGCCUACUGAGCGAGGCAGAGAGCGCAGGACUGGUCGGUCCGGGUGACGUGGAAGUGGUCGAGGAGGAGGAGGAUGAGGAGGAUGAUCAGGGCCCCACAAGGGACUUCCAGGGUCCUGCUCCUGCAGACUACGAUGAGACUGGAAGGGGGAUGAGCAUGGGGAGGCCCCGGGCCGCCUGGUGGGGCCUUGUGGAGCCCCAGCUUGCUCAGGCCCUGCUUGACAGGAUGGAUCCCCGGCUCGCUCAGACGCUGCUGGAAAGAGCGAAACAGGAGAGACGUCAGCAGGCUGGACGAGUCGCAUCAGGACUGAGCCGAGACCAGGAAACCCUGAGGCGGAUGGUUGCUGGGAUACUCUCCAGCAUCGGUCCUAACGGUGCCUCGGUCGCCUCCUCUGGUCGCAGAGCGAAGAGGGACCUGUCAGCGAAAGCACCUGAGCCUGUUAGCUCCGCCCACAGAAGAACCCGCCGUUCUCUUGACGAUCUGGCUCCCCCUUCACCUAGCAACGACCCUCCCCUCCUCAGGGUGAAGAGGCUGGAGGAUUACGACGGAGAGGAGCAAGGAGAGAAGCUGCACCCCCAGGUGGUCGGGCUGCAGAGGAUGAAACGCAUCGACACUACGUCAACAGGUGACGCAGAGGAACUGAAUCAUGGGAGUCGUAGGCGCCGGAGGAGAGCUGCUCUGAACUACGACCCACAAAUAUUGGUUGAUCAGAUUCUGGAGUACAUGAGGGAGUAAGGAGUAGAGAAAAGAGUAUACGUUGUCAUUCAGGUUUUUAUUUGUGCAUCUUUUUCAUUUGUUCCUGCUGCUUUCGUGAACAUUUAUCAAGUUGUUUGUUGUAAAAAUGAGGAGAAAUGUCAAACAGAUGGAAAAGGAUAAAACGGUUCCGUUUGUGCGAGUCUUUAAAACACUACAUUUCCCAUGAGCCUCAGCAGGCAUUGUUCCAGCACAUUCAAUGAACCAAAAUCUAAAAAUUCACCGGAAUCAAAUUUGUGAAAAGAAACUUCUUUCUCAAGCUCUCCGAUUGGCUGAUAAUCUACUGCAAUGGUCUCUGGGGCUUGUAGUUAGACUCUUCAUUACUGUAAUGUGGUUACAUUGUUACAGGUUCGCCAUUAAAUCGAGCUUCUUUCCUUCAAAAAAGAUGGAGAGAUGGUGGAAAGUGGUAAUAACCUUGGCAAUGGCUCAUCAGCUAUGUGAUCAAUACGUUCUCGUUGUGUUCCUGUACUUCAGCUUGUGAUGAUUCGUCUGUCUGUGGUGAAAUUUUGAUUCAUGUCACACUCAGAAAUAAAGUCGGUAAAGUCGACCUUCACUGCCGCCUGCUGUCUGUUUUUGUCCCCACCAAAGACGGACGUAUCCUGUGGUUGUCGAAAGGGAGAACAGUGUAGGACCUGUAAUUGUUCUAAUGGCCAGCAGGGGGAGUCUGAUCUGCUUGCAAAACAGUCCGAUUGUGUUGAGGUCUAUGGGAAAAUUACCCUACAUCUUCUUUAAACUUUAACCUCACUAUUCAGUCGUCUGGUGAGUUUAUAGGUUGAGAUGGCAGUUUCGGAUCUUAUCUGAUAAAAAAAAAAAAUCUUGUUCAUUUAAUCAAUUAUGGGUCACAUUGGUGUGAAAAAAUGACACUUUUAUCACAGUCUUCACACCCCAAGUACUCUGAAUUUAAGUUAAUAAAUAUGAAACAAUCAUUCUGACUUAACUGUUUGAAAUAUAUACACAAAACAGUUUGGCUAUAAUAUCAUUAAAACAAACAGCACAUCUUUUUGAUUAUUCUGUUUCAGGUAAGUAAAUUAACUAGGUUAAGUCUUUCCCAACUUUGUUCAUCAAACCUUUGGAGGUCCAGAUCACAUAAUUUUCAACUUCCCAUUUCUGGGAAAAGUCAAAUCCAGGGUACAGAAAUAACUCAUUCCACUUAACAGCUUUGUUACAUUUUAAUAAAACAUUGAAACAGAAAAACUUUUGAAUCAUUCCAAAAAACAGUUUUCCAAUAAACACAUGUCUGGUCUAUGGGGGAAAAAAAUAAGUUAAACUGAAUCUAAUAAAGACACAGCAUAAUCUCAUUAACAACAAAAACAUUUUAAACACAGAAGGGAACACAUUUAUUCAUGUACCUUACAGGUCAAAGGUCAUGCUGACAGCAAACACUAAUGCUCUCCAUCAGUUUUAUCUCUGUGGUUAGCUGAGCUUAGCACAAAGAACCGCGCUGCAUCUGAAAUCCCAUACCCAACUCUAACCUACUCCCGUACAGACACUCAGUAUGUGUGACAGUAUGUCAUUCACAUGUGUGUUUAUGCCUACCAAAGUGAACUCUUACAGGUUUAUAUACACACUCGUGUGCAUGAAUGUCAUGGUAAUUUGGGGCUUUUAUUUACUUCUUUAAGCUGCUCUUUUUACAGGGUGGGAUGAUUGUCCAGCAUACAUAUCUUUAAAGAUUAAAGAAAAUGUUCUUAAUUCAAAAAGUAUAGAUACAGGCUCAAAUAGUAACAAACACUUAAAAGAUUUUAUAUAAUCUUCAUCAACCUACUAAAAGAAACUUGAGAAGCCGUAGUCAAGGAUGUUACAAUGUUCAGGAACAACCCAAGAGCCUCAAGCCUGCCAUGGACUAGAAACUGGUACGCCAACAUCACUGUCCACAGUGGAGUAAGUUUUACAUUGCCGUGGACUGAGAGGCUACCUACCAAGAAAGAAACCCCCACCCAAAAUCAACACCUUCAAGCUCCUCUGAAAGUUGCUGCUGAUCAAACAGACAAAUUUUAUGGUCAGAUGACACAAAGAUUGAGCUAUAUGGCAACAAUGAUAAGGGAUAUAUGUCUGGAGGAGCAAUAGUGAGGCUUUCAAACCUAAGAACACUGUACCACCUGUGCUCUGGGGCUGUUUUGCUGCCAGUGGUACUAGAAUAAUGAAGAAUUGCCAUUUCAAAAUGAUUGACUUGGACACAGCUGGACAUUCUAGCAAACACACAACAAAACUGGCUUUGGGAUGGAUAAAGCAGACUAACAUUAAGGUCCCAACCAAUAUAUAUGAACGAUUGGUCAACUAUGAGCCUGUAUGACUCUGUAGAUUAGGGAAAAACAAUAAAUAAAUUCAAACUUAUGUUUUAACAGUCAUUAAAGACGUAUGCUGUAUGAUCAUUUGAUGAAACGAACAUUUCAAAGAAAUUAUUACAGAUGAGCGUAUAUAAACUUCUGACCUCGACUGCUCAUUUACAUUGAGACUGAAUGGUUAUUGCACAAGUUGUUGGUUAGUAAAUAAUUUAGAUUUUAUCCUAAUGAAUAGAUUAUUUCAGAUGCAGCGCUUAAGCGUGUUAGCUAGAAAGGGAAUCAAAGAGGUUUAGUUGACUAAAGAAGCUAGCUAGACAUGAAGGGUAAUGUAUACUAACAAUCCAUCUAGUACUAUUAAUCCUGUAGGAGCACUUUAUUCAUUUAAACACCUUAAGCUAACACAAAUCUAAAUGAACUCGUAGCUAACUCAAAGCAAGCUAACCUAGCUAAAAAUCAGGCUGGAAGCAUAGGCUUAUAUCAUAAAGCUAAUGGUAACUUCAUUCUGACUCCUAAUGACAAACUGUUAGAUAAUAUGAUAUACAAUGUAAAUAAGACAUUUAUUCAUGCUGAAUACAUUAGUGGUAGAAGCCACUGCUAUCUAGGACAUAUUUAAGAUAAAUCUGGCUAUGCUAGCCAACAGUCUCCCUUGCUUCUAGUGCUUGUGCUAAGCUAGGUUAACCACUUUGAUUAAAACAAUUUUUUACUUAAUAAAUGCUGAAAAAUGACAUAAGAUGAUUUUAUACAACAUAGGACCACUGAUCUUCAGACCAAACAUAUUGUCACAGCAGCCCUCUCCUUUUAUUCUUUAACCUUUUUAAAACCUAAAUCCAUCAAAGUGACCUGCCGUCACUUUUACAUUUAAGUGGGUCUAUUUAGCUCAUUCCCAUCUCCAUAUUUUCAAAUGGUGCUCCACACAAGUCCCUAAAGGUUGAGCUAAGAGAAAAAUGAGUACUCUAAGUAGUACAUAUGUCUGUGAAGGUUCUCAGUCAUCCAGGUCAUCGUAGUCAAAGGAGCUUGCAAAGAAAAGCGUCUGGACUUCUUUAAGUUACUUGAAGACGUUUCACC
ensembl:lncRNA